rnacentral:rRNA from 1 species
UACGUAGGGUGCAAGCGUUGUCCGGAAUUAUUGGGCGUAAAGAGCGUGUAGGCGGCCCGGUUAGUCCGCUGUGAAAGUCCAGGGCUCAACCCUGGAAUGCCGGUGGAUACUGUCGGGCUAGAGUCCGGAAGGGGCGAGUGGAAUUCCUGGUGUAGCGGUGAAAUGCGCAGAUAUCAGGAGGAACACCGGUGGCGAAGGCGGUUCUCUGGGCCGAUACUGACGCUGAGGAGCGAAAGCGUGGGGAGCGAACAGG